UCCAGACUCCUACGGGAGGCAGCAGUGGGGGAUAUUGCACAAUGGGGGAAACCCUGAUGCAGCGACGCCGCGUGAGUGAAGAAGUAUUUCGGUAUGUAAAGCUCUAUCAGCAGGGAAGAAAGAAGACGGUACCUGAGUAAGAAGCCCCGGCUAACUACGUGCCAGCAGCCGCGGUAAUACGUAGGGGGCAAGCGUUAUCCGGAUUUACUGGGUGUAAAGGGAGCGUAGACGGCAAGGCAAGCCUGGAGUGAAAGGCGGGGGCCCAACCCCCGGACUGCUCUGGAAACUGCGGCGCUGGAGUACGGGAGGGGCAGGCGGAAUUCCUGGUGUAGCGGUGAAAUGCGUAGAUAUCAGGAGGAACACCGGCGGCGAAGGCGGCCUGCUGGACCGCAACUGACGCUGAGGCGCGAAAGCGUGGGGAGCAAACAGGAUUAGAUACCCCGGUAA
rnacentral:rRNA from 1 species